rnacentral:rRNA from 1 species
UACGUAGGGCGCAAGCGUUGUCCGGAAUUAUUGGGCGUAAAGAGCUCGUAGGUGGCGUGUCGCGUCUGCCGUGAAAGCCCAUGGCUUAACUGUGGGUCUGCGGUGGAUACGGGCAGGCUGGAGGCUGGUAGGGGCAAGCGGAAUUCCUGGUGUGAGCGGUGAAAUGCGCAGAUAUCAGGAGGAACACCGGUGGCGAAGGCGGCUUGCUGGGCCAGUUCUGACGCUGAGGAGCGAAAGCGUGGGGAGCGAAC